rnacentral:rRNA from 1 species
UACGAAGGGUGCAAGCGUUAAUCGGAAUUACUGGGCGUAAAGGGCGCGUAGGCGGCGUGGUAAGUCACUUGUGAAAUCUCUGAGCUUAACUCAGAACGGCCAAGUGAUACUGCUGUGCUAGAGUGCAGAAGGGGCAAUCGGAAUUCUUGGUGUAGCGGUGAAAUGCGUAGAUAUCAAGAGGAACACCUGAGGUGAAGACGGGUUGCUGGGCUGACACUGACGCUGAGGCGCGAAAGCCAGGGGAGCAAACGGG